rnacentral:rRNA from 1 species
ACAAGCGGUGGAUGAUGUGGUUUAAUUCGAUGCAACGCGAAAACCUUACCCACCUUUGACAUGUACGGAACUCGCCAGAGAUGGCUUGGUGCUCGAAAGAGAGCCGUAACACAGGUGCUGCAUGGCUGUCGUCAGCUCGUGUCGUGAGAUGUUGGGUUAAGUCCCGCAACGAGCGCAACCCUUGUCAUUAGUUGCCAUCAUUUGGUUGGGCACUCUAAUGAGACUGCCGGUGACAAACCGGAGGAAGGUGGGGAUGACGUCAAGUCCUCAUGGCCCUUAUGGGUAGGGCUUCACACGUCAUACAAUGGUCGGUACAGAGGGUUGCCAACCCGCGAGGGGGAGCUAAUCCCACAAAGCCGAUCGUAGUCCGGAUCGCAGUCUGCAACUCGACUGCGUGAAGUCGGAAUCGCUAGUAAUCGUGGAUCAGCAUGUCACGGUGAAUACGUUCCCGGGUCUU